rnacentral:rRNA from 1 species
GUGGGGAAUAUUGGACAAUGGGGGGAACCCUGAUCCAGCCAUGCCGCGUGUGUGAAGAAGGCCUUUUGGUUGUAAAGCACUUUAAGCGAGGAGGAGGCUACCGAGAUUAAUACUCUUGGAUAGUGGACGUUACUCGCAGAAUAAGCACCGGCUAACUCUGUGCCAGCAGCCGCGGUAAUACAGAGGGUGCAAGCGUUAAUCGGAUUUACUGGGCGUAAAGCGCGCGUAGGUGGCCAAUUAAGUCAAAUGUGAAAUCCCCGAGCUUAACUUGGGAAUUGCAUUCGAGACUGGUUGGCUAGAGUAUGGGAGAGGAUGGUAGAAUGCCAGGUGUAGCGGUGAAAUGCGUAGAGAUCUGGAGGAAUACCGAUGGCGAAGGCAGCCAUCUGGCCUAAUACUGACACUGAGGUGCGAAAGCAUGGGGAGCAAACAGGAUUAGAAACCCGAGUAGUCC